UGGGGAAUAUUGGGCAAUGGGCGAAAGCCUGACCCAGCAACGCCGCGUGAAUGAUGAAGGCCUUCGGGUUGUAAAAUUCUUUGGACAGGGACGAAGAAAGUGACGGUACCUGUAGAACAAGCCACGGCUAACUACGUGCCAGCAGCCGCGGUAAUACGUAGGUGGCGAGCGUUAUCCGGAUUUACUGGGCAUAAAGGGCGUGUAGGCGGCUAGAUAAGUGUGAUGUUUAAAUCCAAGGCUUAACCUUGGGGUUCAUUACAAACUGUUUAGCUUGAGUGCUGGAGAGGAUAGUGGAAUUCCUAGUGUAGCGGUAAAAUGCGUAGAUAUUAGGAGGAACACCGGUGGCGAAGGCGGCUAUCUGGACAGUAACUGACGCUGAGGCGCGAAAGCGUGGGGAGCAAACAGG
rnacentral:rRNA from 1 species